rnacentral:rRNA from 1 species
CCUACGGGUGGCUGCAGUGGGGGAUAUUGCACAAUGGGGGAAACCCUGAUGCAGCGACGCCGCGUGUGGGAAGACGGUCCUCUGGCUUGUAAACCACUGUCCCCAGGGACGAAGAUGCCGGUACCUUGGGAGGAAGCUCCGGCUAACUACGUGCCAGCAGCCGCGGUAAUACGUAGGGCGCGCGCGUUGUCCGGCAUUACUGGGUGUAAAGGGAGCGUAGGCGGGACUGCAAGUUGGGUGUCAAAUCUACCGUCUCAACCGGUAGCCGCACUCAAAACUGCAGUUCUUGAGUGAAGUAGAGGAAGGCGGAAUUCCUAGGGUAGCGGUGAAAUGCGUAGAUAUUAGGAGGAACACCAGUGGCGAAGGCGGCCGGCUGGGCUUUUACUGACGCUGAGGCUCGAAAGUGUGGGGAGCAAACAGGAUUAGAUACCCGUGUAGUC